UUUGGUCCAUAGACAAAUUAUAGUAAUUAUGCUCUCAAAAGGAGAAUUGACAGAGAUAAAGAAAAAAAGUGAAAUCCAAUAGCAAAAUUUUAAAACACACGUAUCCUCAUACAACUUCGGCAUCAAAUAAGCCAGCCAAACAACAUAAAUAAUAACUCAAAGUUACCAUUUUGAACCUAGCUUGUUUGAAUUCCAAGUGUUUGGCCUUUAUAUAGUCCCUUGAGCCUUGUAAAUCAUGGCUGUUGGGAGACUGUACAACAACUCCACCAUGAACAAUUCAACAUAUUUACAAGCACCUAUUCUUGUACGAAAUUCUUAUCAGAAGCUUAUUGCAAUGCUUUAGGUGUUGCCCAAAGGCCCACUAUUUUAGUAGCAUUCCGUUUACUCCUUUCCCAACGUGACCACUUUCUACCAGUUCACAGAGUUAGUGACGAGAAUCUAGUGAUUGCAGCCGAUUUAAGAAAUACUAUGUGUAGGUCGUUGGCAGCCCACCACACCUGUUAGAGCUCACGGAGCCAUUGUUGAGCUAGGACUGCAAAAUACAUGAAAGUUUACCAACUUAAUUGGUUACCCUUGCGAUAUACAUAGCUAAGUUUUGAACUAUAUAGAUAGAGUGCUUAAUCAUAAUUACUGCAAAUCUGAAGUUGCACAAUUCCAAUUAAAUUUGAUGCAUGCGAGAUGACUUACCUUCUUCAUGACCCUGGUAGUUGUCACUGAGCAUUGCGAUAAUUGCAACACUCCAAAUAAAUUCAAUGCCGAAGAGAUGAGUUGCCUUCUUGGCAAUGAACCCUCAAUAGUGAAUUUCUAAGGUCCCUGAAUGAACAUAUGUGGAAGAUAUUCUACAGUUCUAGAUAUAUGGCACAACCUCAGUUACAGAAUGGUUAGUAUACUUACAAUCUAACUGAGAGGCCCCACAUAUGCAAAUUCAGACCUCCGAUAGGAAACACUGAAUCUCAGCAGGAAAGAUCAAAUACAUGCAUCCCUGUUCGAGGUAUUAAUAUGGGUAAUUUUUAAUUGAUGCGCUAGAUGGUAUCAUCAUCCAAUUAUAAAAGAACUCGUGAUUAUAAGAAAAUCUUACUAUAUUCCAUCAAAAUAUACAAUCCUGUGAGGCUAAGAUAACAGCAAGAGCAUAAAAUUCUACAAAAAAAACAACUUGUCACGACAUUUUAGAAAUAGUUAAUAUUUUCUCACUGGAAAUGUCUAUUUGUGAGUUGUACACUUAACAUGGAAUAUACUGAUCUAUUUGUUGACUUCUUAGUUUCAGAUGUUCGUAUGCGACUUUAUAUUUGCUCUGGGUAAAGAAUGAGCAAAAUAUCUUUUCUUGAAUAUAGCUUCUUAUAC
rnacentral:lncRNA from 1 species